rnacentral:rRNA from 1 species
AUAAGGAGCUUGCUCCUUUGACGUUAGCGGCGGACGGGUGAGUAACACGUGGGUAACCUACCUAUAAGACUGGAAUAACUCCGGGAAACCGGGGCUAAUGCCGGAUAACAUUUAGAACCGCAUGGUUCUAAAGUGAAAGAUGGCUUUGCUAUCACUUAUAGAUGGACCCGCGCCGUAUUAGCUAGUUGGUAAGGUAACGGCUUACCAAGGCAACGAUACGUAGCCGACCUGAGAGGGUGAUCGGCCACACUGGAACUGACACACGGUCCAGACUCCUACGGGAGGCAGCAGUAGGGAAUCUUCCGCAAUGGGCGAAAGCCUGACGGAGCAACGCCGCGUGAGUGAUGAAGGUCUUCGGAUCGUAAAACUCUGUUAUUAGGGAAGAACAAAUGUGUAAGUAACUGUGCACGUCUUGACGGUACCUAAUCAGAAAGCCACGGCUAACUACGUGCCAGCAGCCGCGGUAAUACGUAUGUGGCAUGCGUUAUCCGGAAUUAUUGGGCGUAAAGCGCGCGUAGGCGGUUUCUUAAGUCUGAUGUGAAAGCCCACGGCUCAACCGUGGAG